rnacentral:misc_RNA from 1 species
CAGAGUUGCAAGACUCCCUAAACCAUUGUGAACCUACCUUCUACCGUUGCUUCGGCGGGCGGCCCAGCGCCCCCCCGGCCCCCCGCGGGCGCCCGCCGGAGGAUACCCAAACUCUUGACAUUAGUGGCCUCUCUGAGUAUUCUUUACUGAAUAAGUCA